UCUACGGGUGGCUGCAGUGGGGAAUAUUGGACAAUGGGCGAAAGCCUGAUCCAGCCAUGCCGCGUGUGUGAAGAAGGCCUUCGGGUUGUAAAGCACUUUCAGUGGGGAAGAAAGCCUUGGGGCUAAUACCCUCGAGGAAGGACAUCACCCACAGAAGAAGCACCGGCUAACUCCGUGCCAGCAGCCGCGGUAAUACGGAGGGUGCGAGCGUUAAUCGGAAUUACUGGGCGUAAAGCGCGCGUAGGCGGUCUGAUAAGCCGGUUGUGAAAGCCCCGGGCUCAACCUGGGAACGGCAUCCGGAACUGUCAGGCUAGAGGGCAGGAGAGGAAGGUAGAAUUCCCGGUGUAGCGGUGAAAUGCGUAGAGAUCGGGAGGAAUACCAGUGGCGAAGGCGGCCUUCUGGACUGACACUGACGCUGAGGUGCGAAAGCGUGGGUAGCAAACAGGAUUAGAUACCCUAGUAGUC
rnacentral:rRNA from 1 species